UCUCUCUCUCUCUCUCUUUUUGCUGCUCGUCUAUUAAGUUCUUUGAGGCUCUUAAACAGUUAAAAGAUGCCCUGAGAGUGAUAAGGUUAAAAGUUUGAAGUUCAAAUUGCCUAAUCCUACACUCCUGAAGGAAAUAGUGGCACCCUCCAAUUAUCCUUGGGGAAUACUUAUAAGGACUGAGAUGACUUCCAUAGUGGAUGGUGUGUGAUUCCUACCUGACAUAGGCACAUGGCUUAUUGAGUGAUUGGAGUGAAGUAAGAAAAUUAUGAUUUCAAUUUGGAGCCUGGUUCAAGUGGAGGCCCAUUGAGCCAGGAUGGUGCCAUUAACUCACGUUCAAAUUCAAGUAUGAGAUUGCCUUAGAAAAUGACUCAUGUUCCAUAAAUUCUUGCAGGAUUGCCCUGUAUGCACCAAAAGUUACUUAAACAUAAUGGGGUCCUUCUGUAUUUUUCCUCUUGCUGCUAAUAAGUACAAAGUUAUAUUUUUAAUCUGAUGCACAAUUUUUGUAAUAUUUGCAGGUCAUGGUAGCUGUAUAUUUCCUG
rnacentral:misc_RNA from 1 species